rnacentral:rRNA from 1 species
UUCCGGUUGAUCCUGCCGGACCCGACUGCUAUUUGGGUGAGGAUAAGCCAUGCGAGUUGAAUGGGAAACCUAAAAAUCCCAUGGCAAACUGCUCAGUAACACAUGAUCAACUUACCCUAUAGAGGAAAAUAACCUCGGGAACCUGAGGAUAAUGUUCCAUAGUUGAAUCGGCUUGGAAAAGUUUUUCAAUAAAAGGGAUAAGGAAAAUGGUCCUUAUCUGCUAUAGGAUAGGAUCGUGCUCGAUUAUGGUUGUUGGUGAGGUAAAGGCUCACCAAGCCGAUAAUCGAUAGGGGCCGUGAGAGCGGGAGCCCCGAGAUGGGUACUGAGACAACGACCCAGGCCUUACGAGGCGCAGCAGGCGCGAAACCUCCGCAGUACACGAAAGUGUGACGGGAUUACCCAAAGUGUUCAUUAGAACUGUGGUAGGUGAGUAAUGUUCCCUACUAGAAAGGAGAGGGCAAGGCUGGUGCCAGCCGCCGCGGUAAAACCAGCUCUUCAAGUGGUCGGGAUAAUUAUUGGGCUUAAAGUGUCCGUAGCCGGUUUAGUAAGUUCCUGGUAAAAUCGGGUAGCUUAACUAUCUAUAUGCUAGGAAUACUGCUAUACUAGAGGGCGGGAGAGGUCUGAGGUACUACAGGGGUAGGGGUGAAAUCUUAUAAUCCUUGUAGGACCACCAGUGGCGAAGGCGUCAGACUGGAACGCGCCUGACGGUGAGGGACGAAAGCCAGGGGAGCAAACCGGAUUAGAUACCCGGGUAGUCCUGGCCGUAAACGAUGCAUACUAGGUGAUGGCACGGCCAUGAGCCGUGUCAGUGCCGUAGGGAAACCGUUAAGUGUGCCGCCUGGGAAGUACGGUCGCAAGGCUAAAACUUAAAGGAAUUGGCGGGGGAGCACCACAAGGGGUGAAGCCUGCGGUUCAAUUGGAUUCAACGCCGGAAAUCACUAGUGCGGCCG